CUUGUGUGUAGGCAGGGACCAAGGGAGACAGCGCAGGGCAGACAAACCUGACAUAACCGUGGUGUGAUCAGCAGCCCGAAGACCCCAACAAUGACAGCCACCUUCUAAAGUCAGAGAGUCGGGCCGAUGAUUUCCUCAGUGGGAAGGUCCCCGAAGAUGGGACCCAACAAACCCUGGGAGUGACGGCGGUUUUUAC
rnacentral:lncRNA from 9 species